AUUGAACGCUGGCGGCAUGCCUUACACAUGCAAGUCGAACGGUAACAGGUCUUCGGAUGCUGACGAGUGGCGAACGGGUGAGUAAUACAUCGGAACGUGCCUAGUAGUGGGGGAUAACUACUCGAAAGAGUGGCUAAUACCGCGUGAGAUCUACGGAUGAGAGCAGGGGAUCGCAAGACCUUGUGCUAAUAGGGCGGCCGAUGGCAGAUUAGGUAGGUGGUGGGAUAAAAGCUUACCAAGUCGACGAUCUGUAGCUGGUCUGAGAGGACGAUCAGCCACACUGGGACUGAGACACGGCCCAGACUCCUACGGGAGGCAGCAGUGGGGAAUUUUGGACAAUGGGCGCAAGCCUGAUCCAGCAAUGCCGCGUGCAGGAUGAAGGCCUUCGGGUUGUAAACUGCUUUUGUACGGAACGAAAAGCCCCGGGUUAAUACCCUGGGGUCAUGACGGUACCGUAAGAAUAAGCACCGGCUAACUACGUGCCAGCAGCCGCGGUAA
rnacentral:rRNA from 1 species